rnacentral:rRNA from 1 species
ACGGGGCGCAGCAGGCGCGAAAACUGGCCAAUGCGCGAAAGCGUGAGCCGGCUAAUCCGAGUGAUCUCCCAUCGGAGAUCUUUUGUUAUGUGUUCACAGCAUGACGAAUAAUGAGAGGGCAAGACUGGUGCCAGCCGCCGCGGUAAAACCAGCUCUUAGAGUGGUGGGCAUGAUUAUUUGGCUUAAAGGGUGCGUAGCAGGACAGCGUAAGUCCCCCGUGAAAUGCCAGGUCUUAAGCUUGGCGCGGGCGGGGGAUACUGUGCGUCUUGGGACCGGGAUAGGUAUAAGGUAUGCAUUGGGUAGGGGUGAAAUCCGAUAAUCCAAUGCAGACCGCCGGUGGCGAAGGCGUUAUACUGGAACGGGUCCGACUGUGAGGCACGAAAGCUAGGGUCGCGAGCCGGAUUAGAUACCCGGGUAGUCCUAUGCUGUAAACGAUGCUCACUAAGUGUUAGGCAAUGCAAGACGUUGUCUAGUGCCGAAGGGAAACCGUUAAGUGAGCCGCCUGGGAAGUACGUUCGCAAGAAUGAAACUUAAAGGAAUUGGCGGGGGCCUACUACAAGAAGUGGAGCCUGCGGUUUAAUUGGACUCAACUCCGGGAAGCUCACCUGGGCCGUAACGUGAAUGAUUGUCCUGCUGAAGACACUACUUGAUGCGUUACUGGAGGUGCAUGGCCAUCGUCAGUUCGUGCCGUGAGGUGUCCUGUUAAGUCAGGCAACGAACGAGAUCCCCGCCGCUAAUUGCCAGCGAGACCUCAGG